GCCCAGGCCACAUCUCAAACCCAGUCACUGUGCUUCCAGCUUCUGCUCUCCUUCCACUGGCCAUCCUUGAAGAGGUUGUCACAGCCACCUGAUGGAAACUUCUUGAUGUAAUUGGGUUUCUGCCUGAACAGCUGGUCUAUGAGGCUUCCAGGGAUUCCAUCAACAUAAGAGUUCCGCUGAUUUUUUGGAAAUGGGUCACUGUAGAAAUUAAUCAAGUGGUAGUGAGGACCUUGAUAAUUGGAGUGGAUUCUGGGAUUCCCAAAGAUGUGACUUCCUGGCCUUAAGUUGGAGCUAUAUACAAUUCCAUGAAUGAAACAGC
rnacentral:sRNA from 1 species